UGGGUGAAAUGUAGUAGGGUAUUAUAGUGCAUGUGUCUAUAUACGAGUAUACUUGGCGUAUUCAUAGAUUACAGACUUAGAGGUAUCCCCUUUCUCAGCUGACCUUACUGCUUUGCCCUAAGCUUAACAUUAGCUUCUUACUCGUCUUUUGCUAUGCCUGGUUAGCUUCUUACUCGUCUUUUGCUAUGCCUGGUUGAUGGGGAACUAAAAAACUUUAGAUGGGGAACUAGAAAAACUCUAACUAAUAAAAGUGAAUAUUUUUUUUCACCAUGCUCGAGAUUCAUCGUCCAACAUGAACAAUGAUCACACCCACAUGAAUACAAGUAGUUUCCAUUUUUGAAGGAAACAACAAUGCUGAGACCGGAAAGACUCUCCCAAAGGAUUUAAGCCUAAUCUACUUUACCAAUUACCCAUGUUAUCAGAUCUCCCUCAACCUCUCUCACUCUCUCUCCAAUCAAACUUAGACAUUGCCGGAGUCAUUCAGAAAAUUUUUCACUGUCAUUCAGCAAUUAAAGUAGUUGAAAUGAUAACUUAAGGGUCCCAUUUCGCUGAUCUUUGGUGCGCAAUCCACUAAACAAAGUUUUCCUUUAUGUUGAUGGGUCAUUAAGGUAGGCUGUUGCUGUAAUGAAGGUUUCCUUAGAGCAUAUAGAAGACCAGCAGAUUGUGAGGGCUCAUAGUUUAGAUGGUAAAAGCUACUACCUCUUAUCUUUUACAUUCUACUUGGAUGGUGAGACCUAAAUGAUUGUGGAGAUAAGAGCUUAAUCAAUCUUGUUGAUGAUUUGAACCCCAUUAAAGGUGUGUAGGUCAUUCAGGGAAGACUAGUCCAUAAAGACGCGUCCUUUGAAUAGAUUUCUAUGUUUGUUGUUGUCUGCUUUUUAGUAUCAUUAGUUGGUAAGUCAAUAAAGUAAUCGAUUAUAUCAUAUGUUCACAACCCAACUUUAACCUUGUGAAGAUCUAUGUUAGGUACUUAGUUUGGCCUCUUUCCCCUGCCAAAUCAUUUGUUUCCUCCUGUUGUUCAUUUUGAAAGUCCUUGUUUCCCCUGCCAAGUACAAAAAAUUGGGGUUGAGAAAGGACUGAGAGCAGAGUCAUCAAGAACUUCACUGCCAGGAGGACCAAUUAGGUUGAGCUAAGCAUGGAAGAGAUGGAAAAGAAAGCUGCCUCGUACAAAUUACCUGAUGUUUGCUUGCUCCGGUUGCCAAUUCGAGCUACUCGAUCUCUACUUUAUCAAUGAAGAUCUCUGCUUCUGCAUAACAGCUAACCUGUUAUGUUCUUCAGAACACAGAACAUAUACCGCUAGCUAGGAGGUCUUCAUCAGUGCAUGAGGUGUGUGUAUUUCUCCUAGUUUGAGGGGAAUGAAGCCUGGUCCGAAAUCUUCCUGAUAGAUCAUGUUUAAGCUCACAGAAAGAUUUCGAACCAGACGACAUUCACCUCAACUGUUAGGGAGAGAAAGAGAGAGAUGACAUCUAGAGAGAGAGAGAGAGAGGUGGAUUUGAUAUGGCCAUGCAUUGUAUAUAUUUCAUGGGGUCCUUAUAUAUACGUAAUGUAAGGAUGAAAAUAACGAGAUUCUUAAUUUCCCCAGUCACAUGUCGUGGACAUGGAGUCCACUUUCUACACCCCUGCCUAACCUUGCU